GUGGGGAAUAUUGGACAAUGGGCGAAAGCCUGAUCCAGCCAUGCCGCGUGUGUGAAGAAGGUCUUCGGAUUGUAAAGCACUUUAAGUUGGGAGGAAGGGCAGUAAGUUAAUACCUUGCUGUUUUGACGUUACCGACAGAAUAAGCACCGGCUAACUUCGUGCCAGCAGCCGCGGUAAUACGAAGGGUGCAAGCGUUAAUCGGAAUUACUGGGCGUAAAGCGCGCGUAGGUGGUUUUGUAAGUUGGAGGUGAAAUCCCCGGGCUCAACCUGGGAACUGCCUCCAAAACUGCAUGACUAGAGUACGGUAGAGGGUAGUGGAAUUUCCUGUGUAGCGGUGAAAUGCGUAGAUAUAGGAAGGAACACCAGUGGCGAAGGCGACUACCUGGACUGAUACUGACACUGGGGUGCGAAAGCGUGGGGAGCAAACAGGAUUAGAUACCCGUGUAGUCC
rnacentral:rRNA from 1 species